rnacentral:rRNA from 1 species
UACGUAGGGUGCGAGCGUUGUCCGGAAUUAUUGGGCGUAAAGGGCUCGUAGGCGGUUUGUCACGUCAGGAGUGAAAACUCGGGGCUCAACCCCGAGCCUGCUUCUGAUACGGGCAGACUAGAGUUCGGUAGGGGAGUCUGGAAUUCCUGGUGUAGCGGUGAAAUGCGCAGAUAUCAGGAGGAACACCGGUGGCGAAGGCGGGACUCUGGGCCGAUACUGACGCUGAGGAGCGAAAGCGUGGGGAGCAAACAGG